rnacentral:miRNA from 1 species
UAAACCCUAAACCCUAAACCC